rnacentral:rRNA from 1 species
UGGGGAAUAUUGCACAAUGGGGGAAACCCUGAUGCAGCGACGCCGCGUGAGCGAAGAAGUAUUUCGGUAUGUAAAGCUCUAUCAGCAGGGAAGAAGAAAUGACGGUACCUGACUAAGAAGCACCGGCUAAAUACGUGCCAGCAGCCGCGGUAAUACGUAUGGUGCAAGCGUUAUCCGGAUUUACUGGGUGUAAAGGGAGCGCAGGCGGUACGGCAAGUCUGAUGUGAAAGCCCGGGGCUCAACCCCGGUACUGCAUUGGAAGCUGUCGGACUAGAGUGUCGGAGGGGUAAGUGGAAUUCCUAGUGUAGCGGUGAAAUGCGUAGAUAUUAGGAGGAACACCAGUGGCGAAGGCGGCUUACUGGACGAUGACUGACGCUGAGGCUCGAAAGCGUGGGGAGCAAACAG